CACACUGUCGCCUACAGAAUCUCUCACUAUCUCAAACAACAAAACCAUUGUAUCUCGUAACGAGACCUUCGAGCUCGGUUUCUUCACUCCCGGAUCAAGUUCUCGUUGGUAUCUCGGGAUAUGGUACAAGAAAAUCCCCAUUAGAACCUACGUCUGGGUUGCCAACAGAGACAACCCUCUAUCUCGUCCCAACGGAUCUCUCAAAAUAUCUUACGACAAUAACCUCGUCAUUUACGAUCACUCCGACACACCUGUCUGGUCAACGAAUCUAACCGUUGGAGCUUCGAGAUCUUCACUGGUGGCAGAGCUUCUCGAUAACGGUAACUUCGUGCUCAGAGACUCCAACAGUAACGAGUACUUGUGGGAGAGUUUCGAUUUUCCGACAGAUACUUUACUUCCGGAUAUGAAACUGGGCUGGGAUAAAAAAACCGGUUUAGACCGAGUCUUGAGAUCCUGGAAAAGUGUAGAAGAUCCAGCAAGCGGCAAUUUCUGGACUAAACUCGAAACCAGAGGGUUCCCUGAGUAUUACGUAUUCAACAGAGAGACAAUUAUCUACCGGAGCGGUCCAUGGAUCGGAAACCGGUUUAGCUGCGUACCGGAGAUGAAACCAAUUGAGUACAUGGUUUACACUUUCAUAGCAAGUAACGAAGAAGUGAGUUACUCAUACCACAUGACCAAACCCGAAGUUUACUCCACAUUAAGCCUAAGCUACACCGGAACCAUACAGCGACGAAACUGGAUUGAGCAAUCACAGGCUUGGAAACAGUUAUGGUACCAACCAAAGGACAUAUGCGACAACUACAGACAGUGUGGUAAUUACGGUUAUUGCGAUUCCAACAGCUUGCCUAACUGUAACUGCAUCAAAGGGUUUGGGCUAGGAAAUGGGCAAGAGUGGGCUUUGAGAGAUGAUUCAGCCGGUUGCGUGAGGAAGACGAGGCUGAGUUGUGAUGGUAGAGAUGGGUUUGUGGUUGUGAAGAGGAUGAAAUUGCCAGAUACUGCGGCUACAGUUCUGGACAGAGGAAUUGGGCUGAAGGAGUGUGAAGCCAAGUGCCUACAAGAUUGUAACUGUACGGCUUAUGCUAAUACGGAUAUUCGUGAUGGCGGGUCGGGCUGUGUGAUUUGGAAGGGAGGUCUUUUCGAUAUCCGGAGUUAUGCAAAUGGUGGUCAGGAUCUCUACGUUAAACUAGCCGCUGCUGAUCUUGGUUAGUUCUUUCUCCCAUGCGUUUUAAAUGUUUUGUUUUAGUUGAGACUGAUGUGAUUCCGAUGUAAAACUAACUAGCCGUGGGUGUUUUUUUUUUUUACGUAAUGUAACUAAAUAUUUUUUACACCAUUAUAUAAUCUAUAAAAAUUAUAAUAAAAUGGCGACUCUAUAAAAAUUAUAAUAAAAUGGUGACAAAAAUACAUCACAUAAUACAUAUAUUGCUGUUACAUAAUUUCACUAAUAGUAAAAGUAAAAUGAUUUCUAUAACUGUAAAGAUAAAUAUCACGCGAAUAUUUAUUUUUAUUUAACCAAUAUCAUUUUUAUUUACUUGAUAUCGAGUUGGCUAGUGGUAAAGGAAAUAUUAAUAGUCUUUUAUUGGUCGGGUUUGAUACGCAUUAGAAAGAAUUAUUUACAACAAUUGGGUUCCCAGUAAAAUUAGAACCUACGUCUGGGUUGCCAACAGAGACAACCCUCUAUCUCGUCCCAACGGAUCUCUCAAAAUAUCUUACGACAAUAACCUCGUCAUUUACGAUCACUCCGACACACCUGUCUGGUCAACGAAUCUAACCGUUGGAGCUUCGAGAUCUUCACUGGUGGCAGAGCUUCUCGAUAACGGUAACUUCGUGCUCAGAGACUCCAACAGUAACGAGUACUUGUGGGAGAGUUUCGAUUUUCCGACAGAU
rnacentral:lncRNA from 1 species